rnacentral:sRNA from 2 species
UAUCUCUCUGUACGGGAAGGAUGAGAAGCUUCGACUAAGGUUCGAUUCGAGCGCAGCGAGAAAGCGUUGCCGCAGGCAACGACCCGAAGGGCGAAGCGCGCAGCGCUGAGUCAUCCUUCCCCCACCACCA